rnacentral:rRNA from 1 species
GUUAGCAAGGAAAUAUUGAACGAUGUUGAGAGCACCGGUUCUCGUCCGAUCACCGAAGUUAAGUAACGUCGAGCCUAGUGAGUACUUAGAUAGGUGACCGCUGGGAAGCCUAGGUGCUGUAAGCG